rnacentral:rRNA from 1 species
CCUACGGGAGGCAGCAGUGAGGAAUAUUGGUCAAUGGACGCAAGCCUGAACCAGCGAUGCCGCGUGAAGGAAGACGGCUCUAGGAGUUGUAAACUGCUUUUGUAAGAGGGUAAACGCAGAUACGCGUAUCUGUCUGAAAGUAUCGUAAGAAUAAGGAUCGGCUAACUCCGUGCCAGCAGCCGCGGUAAUACGGAGGAUACAAGCGUUAUCCGGAUUUAUUGGGUUUAAAGGGUGCGUAGGCGGUUGGAUAAGGUAGUGGUGAAAUCUCGAGGCUCAACUGCGGAAUUGCCUCUGAUACUGUUCGACUUGAGUGUAGUUGCGGUAGGCGGAAUGUGUGGUGUAGCGGUGAAAUGCUUAGAGAUCAUGCAGAACACCGAUUGCGAAGGCAGCUUACCAAGCUGCUUCUGACGUUGAGGCACGAAAGCGUGGGGAGCAAACAGGAUUAGAUACCCCAGUAGUC